GACGAACGCUGGCGGCGUGCCUAAUACAUGCAAGUCGAACGCAGUGGGGACGGGUGAGUAACACGUGGGUAACCUCCCAUCAGAGGGGAUAACACUUGGAAACAGGUGCUAAACCGAUACUGAUGGAUGGACCCGCGGUGCAUUAGCUAGUUGGUGAGGUAACGGCUCACCAAGGCCACGAUGCAUAGCCGACCUGGGGGGGUACUCGGCCACCCGGGAACUGAGACAGGGCCCAGACUCCUACGGGGGGCAGAGGGGGGAAAUUUUCGGAAAUGGACGAAAGUCUGACCGAGCAACGCCGCGUGAGUGAAGAAGGUUUUGGGUUCGUAAAACUCUGUUGUUAGAGAAGCGGUAUCUAACCAGAAAGCCACGGCUAACUACGUGCCAGCCGCCGCGGUAAUU
rnacentral:rRNA from 1 species